rnacentral:rRNA from 1 species
AUACGGAGGGUGCGAGCGUUAAUCGGAAUUACUGGGCGUAAAGCGUACGUAGGCGGUUGGUUAAGUUAGAUGUGAAAGCCCCGGGCUUAACCUGGGAACUGCAUUUAAAACUGGCGAACUAGAGUUGAGUAGAGGGGAGUGGAAUUUCAGGUGUAGCGGUGAAAUGCGUAGAGAUCUGAAGGAACACCAGUGGCGAAGGCGACUCCCUGGACUAAAACUGACGCUGAGGUACGAAAGCGUGGGUAGCAAACAGGAUUAGAAACCCUAGUAGUCC